rnacentral:lncRNA from 1 species
ACAAUUAGACAUACACAAAGGUCUUAACAGAAAACAUACCUGGGAAUCCUCAAUCUGCGUCGCGCCCUGCAAAAAAAAAAGGCCACACGACCUAAAGGAAAAAAAAAGAACCAUUAGACAUACACAAAGGUCUUAACAGAAAACAUACCUGAAUUCCUCAAUCUGCGUCGCGCCCUGCUAGAAAAAAAGAAAAGGCGACAUUAGACAUACACAAAGGCCUUAACAGAAAACAUACCUGGAAUCUCAAUCUGCGUCGCGCCCUGCUAGAAAAAAAGAAAAGGACAACAUUAGACAUACACAAAGGUCUUAACAGAAAACAUACCUGGGAAUUCCUUAAUCUGCGUCGCGCCCUGCCAGAAAAAGAAAAGGCGACAUUAGACAUACACAAAAACCUUAACAGAAAACAUACCUGAAAAUCCUCAAUCUGCGUCGUGCCCUGCCAGAAAAAAAGAAAAGGCAACAUUAAACAUACACAAAGGUCUUAACAGAAAACAUACCUGAAAAUCCUCAAUCUGCGUCGCGCCCUGCUAGAAAAAAAGAAAAGGCGACAUUAGACAUACACAAAGGCCUUACCAGAAAACAUACCUGAAAAUCCUCAAUCUGCGUCUCGCCCUGCUAGAAAAAAGGAAAAGGCGACAUUAGACAUACACAAAGGCCUUAACGGAAAACAUACCUGCGAAUCUCCAAUCUGUGUCGCGCCCUGCCAGAAAAAAAGAAAAGGCAACAUUAGACGUACACCAAGGUCUUAACAGAUAACAUACCUGAAAAUCCUCAAUCUGCGUCGCGCCCUGCCAGAAAAAAAGAAAAGGCAACAUUAGACAUACACAAAGGUCUUAACAGAAAACAUACCUGGAAAAUCCUCAAUCUGCGUCGCGCCCUGCAAAAAAAAAAAGGCCACACGACCUAAAGGAAAAAAAAAAGAACCAUUAGACAUACACAAAGGUCUUAACAGAAAACAUACCUGCGAAUCUCAAUCUGCGUCGCGCCCUGCCAGAAAAAAAGAAAAGGCAACAUUAGACAUACACAAAGGUCUUAACAGAAAACAUACCUGGAAUUCCUCAAUCUGCGUCGCGCCCUGCUAGAAAAAAAGAAAAGACAACAUUAGACAUACACAAAGGUCUUAACAGAAAACAUACCUGAAAUCCUCAAUCUGCGUCGCGCCCUGCUAGAAAAAAAGAAAACACAACAUUAGACAUACACAAAGGUCUUAACAGAAAACAUACCUGCGAAUCUUCAAUCUGCGUCGUGCUCUUCCAGAAAAAAAGAAAAGGCAACAUUAAACAUACACAUAGGCCUUAACAAAAAACAUACCAGCAAAUGUAGCAUAGGCCACACGACCUAAAGGAAAAAAAAAGGAACCAUUAGACAAACACAAAGGCCUUAACAGAAAACAUACCUGAAAAUCUUCAAUCUGCAACGCACCCUGCUAGAAAAAAAGAAAAGGCAACAUUAGACAUACACAAAGGUCUUAACAGAAAACAUACCUGAAAAUCCUCAAUCUGUGUCGCGCCCUGCUAGAAAAAAAGAAAAGACAACAUUAGACAUACACAAAGGUCUUAACAGAAAACAUACCUAAAUCCUCAAUCUGCGUCGCGCCCUGCAAAAAAAAAAAAAAGUCCACACGACCUAAAGGAAAAAAAAAGGAACCAUUAGACAUACACAAAGGUCUUAACAGAAAACAUACCUAAAUCCUCAAUCUGUGUCGCGCCCUGCUAGAAAAAAAGAAAAGACAACAUUAGACAUACACAAAGGUCUUAACAGAAAACAUACCUGGGAAUCCUCAAUCUGCGUCGCGCCCUGCUAGAAAAAAAGAAAAGGCGAAAUUAGACAUACACAAAGGUCUUAACAGAAAACAUACCUGGAAUCCUCAAUCUGCGUCGCGCCCUGCUAGAAAAAAAGAAAAGGCGAACAUUAGACAUACACAAAGGUCUUAACAGAAAACAUACCUGGGAAUCCUCAAUCUGCGUCGCGCCCUGCUAGAAAAAAAGAAAAAGGCGCAACAUUAGACAUACACAAAGGUCUUAACAGAAAACAUACCUGGAAAAUCUCCAAUCUGCGAUGCGCCCUGCCAGAAAAAAAAGAAAAGACAACAUUAGACAUACACAAAGGUCUUAACAGAAAACAUACCUGGGAAUCCUCAAUCUGCGUCACGCCCUGCUAAAAAAAAAAAAAAGGCCACACGACCUAAAGGAAAAAAAAAGAACCAUUAGACAUACACAAAGGUCUUAACAGAAAACAUACCUGAAAUCCUCAAUCUGCGUCGCGCCCUGCUAGAAAAAAAGAAAAGGCAACAUUAGACAUACACAAAGGUCUUAACAGAAAACAUACCUGAAAAUCCUCAAUCUGCGUCACGCCCUGCUAGAAAAAAAGAAAAGGCGAAAUUAGACAUUCACAAAGGUCUUAACAGAAAACAUACCUGAAAAUCCUCAAUCUGCGUCGCGCCCUGCUAGAAAAAAAAGAAAAGACAACAUUAGACAUACACAAAGGUCUUAACAGAAAACAUACCUGGAAUUCCUCAAUCUGCGUCGCGACCUGCUAGAAAAAAAGAAAAGACAACAUUAGACAUACACAAAGGUCUUAACAGAAAACAUACCUGGAAUCCUCAAUCUGCGUCGCGCCCUGCUAGAAAAAAAGAAAAGGCGCACAUUAGACAUACACAAAGGUCUUAACAGAAAAACAUACCUGGAAUCCUCAAUCUGCGUCGCGCGCCCUGCAAAAAAAAAAAAAGGCCACACGACCUAAAGGAAAAAAAAAAGAAACCAUUAGACAUACACAAAGGUCUUAACAGAAAACAUACCUGGAAUCCUCAAUCUGCGUCGCGCCCUGCUAGAAAAAAAGAAAAGCAACUUUAGACAUACACAAAGGUCUUAACAGAAAACAUACCUGCGAAUCUCCAAUCUGCGUCGCGCCCUGCCAGAAAAAAAGAAAAGACAACAUUAGACAUACACAAAGAUCUUAACAGAAAACAUACCUGGAAUUCCUUAAUCUGCGUCGCGCCCUGCCAGAAAAAGAAAAGGCGACAUUAGACAUACACAAAAACCUUAACAGAAAACAUACCUGAAAAUCCUCAAUCUGCGUCGUGCCCUGCCAGAAAAAAAGAAAAGGCAACAUUAAACAUACACAAAGGUCUUAACAGAAAACAUACCUGAAAAUCCUCAAUCUGCGUCGCGCCCUGCUAGAAAAAAAGAAAAGGCGACAUUAGACAUACACAAAGGCCUUACCAGAAAACAUACCUGAAAAUCCUCAAUCUGCGUCUCGCCCUGCUAGAAAAAAGGAAAAGGCGACAUUAGACAUACACAAAGGCCUUAACGGAAAACAUACCUGCGAAUCUCCAAUCUGUGUCGCGCCCUGCCAGAAAAAAAGAAAAGGCAACAUUAGACGUACACCAAGGUCUUAACAGAUAACAUACCUGAAAAUCCUCAAUCUGCGUCGCGCCCUGCCAGAAAAAAAGAAAAGGCAACAUUAGACAUACACAAAGGUCUUAACAGAAAACAUACCUGAAAUCCUCAAUCUGCGUCGCGCCCUGCUAGAAAAAAAGAAAAGGCGCAAUUAGACAUACACAAAGGUCUUAACAGAAAACAUACCUGGGAAUCCUCAAUCUGCGUCGCGCCCUGCCAGAAAAAAGAAAAGGCCAAUUAGACAUACACAAAGGUCUUAACAGAAAACAUACCUGGGAAUCCUCAAUCUGCGUCGCGCCCUGCUAGAAAAAAAGAAAAGGCGAA